CCUACGGGUGGCAGCAGUGAGGAAUAUUGGUCAAUGGACGCAAGUCUGAACCAGCCAAGCCGCGUGCAGGAAGACGGCUCUAUGAGUUGUAAACUGCUUUUGUACGAGAGUAAACGCAGAUACGCGUACCUGUCUGAAUGUACCGUACGAAUAAGGAUCGGCUAACUCCGUGCCAGCAGCCGCGGUAAUACGGAGGAUUCAAGCGUUAUCCGGAUUUAUUGGGUUUAAAGGGGGCGUAGGCGGUCGGAUAAGUUAGCGGUGAAAUCCCGAGGCUCAACGUCGGAAUUGCCGCUGAUACUGUUCGGCUAGAGUGUGGUUGCGGUAGGCGGAAUGUAUGGUGUAGCGGUGAAAUGCAUAGAGAUCAUACAGAACACCGAUUGCGAAGGCAGCUUACCAAGCCACUACUGACGUUGAGGCACGAAAGCGUGGGUAGCAAACAGGAUUAGAUACCCCUGUAGUC
rnacentral:rRNA from 1 species